GUNCCAGCAGCCGCGGUAAUACGUAGGACCCAAGCGUUAUCCGGAAUUACUGGGCGUAAAGAGUUGCGUAGGUGGCACUGUAAGUGGAGCGUGAAAGCGUGCGGCUCAACCGCAUUACUGCGUUCUAAACUACAGAGCUUGAGUAUGAGAGAGGUUAUUGGAAUUUCCAGUGUAGGAGUGAAAUCCGUAGAUAUUGGAAGGAACACCGAUGGCGUAGGCAGAUAACUGGCUCAUUACUGACACUAAGGCACGAAAGCGUGGGGAGCAAACGGGAUUAGAUACCCCGGUAGUCCACGCUGUAAACUAUGGAUGCUAGCUGUGACACACAUCGACCUGUGUCGUAGCGAAGUUAACGCGUUAAGCAUCCCGCCUGGGGAGUACGGUCGCAAGAUUAAAACUCAAAGGAAUUGACGGGGACCCGCACAAGCGGUGGAGCGUGUUGUUUAAUUCGAUGGUAAGCGAAGAACCUUACCAAGGCUUGAAAUCCCGAUAGCAAUUCUUCGAAAGAAGAAUCUCAUUUAGUUGGAUCGGUGACAGGUGUUGCAUGGCCGUCGUCAGCUCGUGUCGUGAGAUGUAUGGUUAAGUCCAUUAACGAGCGCAACCCUUAUGUUUAGUUGGAUUUUUCUAAACAGACUGCCCUGGCAACAGGGAGGAAGGGGGGGAUGAUGUCAGGUCAGUAUUACCCUUACGUCUUGGGCUACAAACACGCUACAAUGGCCGGUACAGAGGGCUGCCAACCCGCGAGGGGGAGCAAAUCCCAUCAAAGCCGGUCUCAGUUCGGAUAGCAGGCUGAACUCGCCUGCUUGAAGCUGGAAUCGCUAGUAACGGUAGGUCAGCACACUACCGUGAAUACGUUCCCGGGUCUUGCACACACCGCCCGU
rnacentral:rRNA from 1 species